UACGUAGGGGGCGAGCGUUGUCCGAAGUUACUGGGCGUAAAGCGCGCGUAGGCGGGUUGGCAAGUCUGCUGUGAAAGCCCGGGGCUUAACUCCGGAGGGUCGGUGGAUACUGCCAGUCUUGAAGGUGCUAGGGAGAGAUGGAAUUACCGGUGUAGCGGUGAAAUGCGUAGAUAUCGGUAGGAACACCAGUGGCGAAGGCGGUCUCUUGGGGCAUUCUUGACGCUGAGGUGCGAAAGCGUGGGGAGCAAACAGG
rnacentral:rRNA from 1 species